UUAACACAUAAAUCCUUAAUUAUUAGUAGUUAAGUUCUUGAAAAUUAAUAAAGAUGGCGGUAUUUUAGUCUAUUCAGAGGAAUCUGCCCUGUAAUUGAUGCUCCACGAUUUAAAUUACUUAGGAUUUUAGUUUGCAUAUCGCUGUAGGUUGAAUAUUUCUGUUGAAUUAAAAUAUUCAAAAGGUUUAAGGAAAGGAUAUCAAGUCAAGAUGUAGCUUAUACCUAAGAAGAGGUGGAUUACAAUAUUUGUAUAUGUGGAUGGGCCUUGGAAGAGGGGCUUUGAAAAUGGAUUUGAGGGUAAUUUUCUACAAAGAUUUGGAAAAUGAUUCUAGCUCUAAAU
rnacentral:rRNA from 1 species